UCUUAUCAAGAGAAACCGAGGGACAGGCCCUAAGACGUUUCGGCAGCAGAUUUGUUUAAAAGCAAAAACUGUGCCAACUCCUGCAGAUGCUCUAAAGCAUUUGGAAGAUGAGA
rnacentral:ncRNA from 1 species